GAUGAACGCUGGCGGCGUGCCUAACACAUGCAAGUCGAACGGAAAGGCCUCUUUCGUGGGGUACUCGAGUGGCGAACGGGUGAGUAACACGCGAGUAACUUGCCCUUGUCUUUGGGUUAACUUCAGGCAACUGGGGCUAAUACCGGACAGGUGCUCCUUCUGCCUGGUGGGGGUUGGAAAGUUUCGGCGGUUGGGGAUGGCUUCGCGGGUUAUCAGCUUGUUGGUGGAGUAGUGGCUUACCAACGCCUUGGCGGGUAGCCGGCCAGAGAGGGUGACAGGCCACAUUGAGACUGAGGUGCGGCACAGACACCUACGGGAGGGAAAAGUGGGGAAUAUUGAACAAUAGGUGGAGGGCUGGUGCAGAAACGCCGUGUACAGGAUGACGGGCUUCGGGUUGUAAACCACUUUCGCACAUAACGAAGCUUUGUGUGACGGUAGUGGGUAAAGAAGCACCGGCUAACUACGUG
rnacentral:rRNA from 1 species